GACGAACGCUGGCGGCGUGCUUAACACAUGCAAGUCGAACGGAAAGGCCCUGCUUUUGUGGGGUGCUCGAGUGGCGAACGGGUGAGUAACACGUGAGUAACCUGCCCUUGACUUUGGGAUAACUUCAGGAAACUGGGGCUAAUACCGGAUAGGAGCUCCUGCUGCAUGGUGGGGGUUGGAAAGUUUCGGCGGUUGGGGAUGGACUCGCGGCUUAUCAGCUUGUUGGUGGGGUAGUGGCUUACCAAGGCUUUGACGGGUAGCCGGCCUGAGAGGGUGACCGGCCACAUUGGGACUGAGAUACGGCCCAGACUCCUACGGGAGGCAGCAGUGGGGAAUAUUGCACAAUGGGCGGAAGCCUGAUGCAGAAACGCCGCGUGCGGGAUGACGGCCUUCGGGUUGUAAACCGAUUUCGCCUGUGACGAAGCGUGAGUGACGGUAAUGGGUAAAGAAGCACCGGCUAACUACGUG
rnacentral:rRNA from 1 species